CCUAGCCACAUUCUUGGCUCUCUUGUUAUAUACUCCCUGGACUCUGGUUAUAGUCCUCUCGUCAGAAAUCUCCUUGCCCCUGACCCCUUCACCCCUUCCCCUGUUUCCAAGCUCUGGUACCCACGACCCAGUAGACAGCCCAAGGUGCAGACUUUUUGCCACACUGAAAGGACCACAGAUCCCUUGUCCCUCUAGCUCAUGGGCUGGGCCGCGACGAGUGGUAAUGCCAUUGCCGACACU